rnacentral:rRNA from 1 species
CCUACGGGUGGCAGCAGUCGAGAAUCAUUCACAAUGGGGGCAACCCUGAUGCUGCGAUGCCGCGUGGGGGAAUGAAGCUCUUCGGAUUGUAAACACCUGCCAUGUGGGAGCAAAUUAUAAAGUUAGUACCACAAGUGGUAGAGAUGGCUCACUCUGUGCCAGUAGCCGCGGUAAUACGGAGGGCUCAAGCGUUUUCCGGAAGUACUGGGCGUAAGGCGUGCGUAGGCUGUUUCGUAAGUCGUGUGUGAAAGGCGCGGGCUCAACCCGCGGACGGCACAUGAUACUGCGAGACUAGAGUAAUGGAGGGGGGACCGGAAUUCUCGGUGUAGCAGUGAAAUGCGUAGAUAUCGAGAGGAACACUCGUGGCGAAGGCGGGUUCCUGGACAUUAACUGACGCUGAGGCACGAAGGCCAGGGGAGCGAAAGGGAUUAGAUACCCUAGUAGUC